rnacentral:rRNA from 1 species
CCUACGGGUGGCAGCAGUGAGGAAUAUUGGUCAAUGGACGAGAGUCUGAACCAGCCAAGUAGCGUGAAGGAUGACUGCCCUAUGGGUUGUAAACUUCUUUUAUAUGGGAAUAAAAUGUUCCACGUGUGGGAUUUUGUAUGUACCAUAUGAAUAAGGAUCGGCUAACUCCGUGCCAGCAGCCGCGGUAAUACGGAGGAUCCGAGCGUUAUCCGGAUUUAUUGGGUUUAAAGGGAGCGUAGGGGGAUUGUUAAGUCAGUUGUGAAAGUUUGCGGCUCAACCGUAAAAUUGCAGUUGAAACUGGCAGUCUUGAGUACAGUAGAGGUGUGCGGAAUUCGUGGUGUAGCGGUGAAAUGCUUAGAUAUCACGAAGAACUCCGAUUGCGAAGGCAGUUCACUGGACUGCAACUGACACUGAGGCUCGAAAGUGUGGGUAUCAAACAGGAUUAGAUACCCCUGUAGUC